GCGGGCUUUGUCUAGUGGUUAUGAUGUCUGCUUUACAAUCGGUUUACCGAUAGGAGCGCAGGAGGUCGUGAGUUCGAUCCUCACAGCCCGUA